CAGCCGCCGCGGUAAUACGUAGGGGGCGAGCGUUCCCCGGAUUCACUGGGCGUAAAGGGGGUGUAGGCGGCUCGGUAAGUCGGGUGUGAAAUCCCACGGCUCAACCGUGGAAUUGCGCCCGAAACUGCCGAGCUUGGGGCCGGUAGAGGGAGACGGAACUGCCGGUGUAGGGGUGAAAUCCGUAGAUAUCGGCAGGAACGCCGGUGGGGAAGCCGGUCUCCUGGGCCGCGCCCGACGCUGAGGCCCGAAAGCUAGGGGAGCAAACCGGAUUAGAUACCCGGGUAGUCCUAGCCGUAAACGAUGCCCACUAGGUGUGGGGGAGUAUUUCCUCCGUGCUGUAGCUAACGCGUUAAGUGGGCCGCCAGGGGAGUACGCCCGCAAGGGUGAAACUUAAAGGAAUUGGCGGG
rnacentral:rRNA from 1 species